GGACAUGACCAUAGCUCAGUUGUAGAGCAUUUGUUUUGCAUACAGAAGGUCCCAUGUUCAAACUAUGACAUUUGCA